GUAUAUUACUCAUUUAAGACUGGAGGGUCACCAAGAUCAGAGCCUCCACACACGGAUGAUGAUGGAGAAGACUUAGAAUUUGUAACAGCUAAAAGUGCUGAAAUUCCUCCAGAACAAGAAGCACUGCCU